rnacentral:rRNA from 1 species
AUUGAACGCUGGCGGCAGGCCUAACACAUGCAAGUCGAACGGAGCGGCUGACGGGCGGGUAAUGCCUAUGAGUCUGCCUGGCAGUUGGGGGUGACGACCGGCAACGAGCGCUAACUCCUCACGCUAUCAGUCGAGCGUAGGUCGGUGGGGCUAGUUGGUGGGGUAAGGGCCUACCAAGGCGACGAUCCGUAACUGGUCUGAGAGGAUGAUCAGCCACACUGGAACUGAGACACGGUCCAGACUCCUACGGGAGGCAGCAGUGGGGAAUAUUGGACAAUGGGCGAAAGCCUGAUCCAGCCAUGCCGCGUGUGUGAAGAAGGCCUUCGGGUUGUAAAGCACUUUAAGUUGGGAGGCGUUACCCACAGAAUAAGCACCGGCUAACUCCGUGCCAGCAGCCGCGGUAAUUC